rnacentral:pre_miRNA from 13 species
CAAGGUUGCCCUCUGUCACCGAUUCUGUUCAUAAAAAUUAUGAACAGAAUCGGUGACAGAGGGCAACCUUGG